CGCUGAUGGACGUUUCGGUGGCUUCCACAUCUUGGCUGCCAUGAAUAAGGGUGCCAUGAACACAGCUUCUCCUCUUUAAAGAGCUUCCUCUCGAAGUAAAUGAAAACCCCACGUUCCACACAGAGAAAGAAGCCACGGGCACCAUGCGUGUGCUUCACACGAGGUACCCGUGCCUCAGUUUCUCAAGGAAUGCCAACUGAUGCCACAGGAAGGCUGGGAAACCUGCACGGGGCACGGUUUCUUAAAAGCCAGUCAACAAUGGAGCCUCCCCAGUUCCUGCAGCCUGACGUCCGGCCCUCUUCUUCCUUCCUGUGGCAAUGAUGGUAGUCACCACUGCACAGUGUAAUUUGUAAAACAGUAAUAGUUUUGCCAACUUCGUAAGACCAGAGGGAGAACUGAGAUAAAGCAAGCGAAGCAUAACAGUAAGUCUCAACAAAUCGUAGCUGUUCUUAAGAUUGCUGUGUAUUUGUAUUCAUUGUCUACGGUGCUGAAGACAAGAGCCAUGCCAACCUCCAUAUCUGGAUUCCUAUUUCAAAGGCUGUGCCCAGCUCAUGGCAGACACACCAUAAAGA